UUGAGUAGUGAUGCAGCAGAUGUAGCCCUUGUGUAUCUGACUUCAGUUCUGGGUAGAAACCCCUUACUGCUGACAGAGCUGGACCUGAGAGGGAAGAUAUCAGGAGACUCAGGAGUGAAGCAGCUCUGUGCUCUACUGGAGGAUCCACACUGCAGAUUCAAGAAAGUCAACUUGUCAGACUGUGGUGUAACAGGAGAAGGAUAUGCUGCUCUGGCUGCAGCUCUCAAAUCAAACCCUUCACACCUGGAGGAGCUGGACCUGAGAGGAAACGACCCUGGAGACUCUGGAGUGGAGCUUCUUACGUCAGCAGUGACCAAUCAGAAGUGCAAACUCAGGUUGUUGUCUGAUGAAGCAGAGAGAGCCUGUGAGUAUCUGACUUCAGUUCUGGGUAGAAACCCCUUACUGCUGACAGAGCUGAGCCUGGAUGGGAAGAUACCAGGAGACUCAGGAGUGAAGCAGCUCUGUGCUCUACUGGAGGAUUCACACUGCAGAGUCAA